CCUAAUUACACAUUUUGGGAGAGCAUAGCCGGGAAAUCGCAUCUGUGAAAAGAAAAUACAGUUUUUCCUUUAGAUGAGUUUGUGAAUGCCUGCGUGGCCCCAGGGCUCUGAGAGGCAGGGCCUAGAAUGAGUCCGAGUGUUCUCAGCUCCUGCAGCUCUUACCGUACCAAUUGCUGCCAACCUUCUGGGAUUCCUGGGUCCUGGAAACCCGGCAGCAACACUGUGUCUCAAGCCUACAGUGGGCACGCUGGCAAGGACUGCAGGCAUGGUCAUGACUGUUUUGAAUAAUUACAUGCGAGGAAUGUUUUUAACCAAAGGCCCCAAAGCAUCCGAAGCCUGGCUUCAAGGUGGAGGAGUAAGGAGGAUGAGUCUGGGACGUGGGGUGGUUCGUGGCGCAGACCUCUAUUGUGGAAGUGUCAUGAUCGCAUUCUUGGAUGUUGACUCGAUUCUAUAUGGGUCUCUCGAAUGGAACCCUUGCGAGUAGCUGGAGAACUCAACCUUCUAGACAGUGAUCUAGAUGUUGACACCAAAGUCAGACACACCUGGUCUCCUGGUGCCCUGCAGUAUUAUGGUCGUGCGGAGCUACAAGCAUCUGAUCACAGGUGAGGUCCUCACUUCCAUGGUGUUUUCUCCUGUGCUGGGGAAGGCAGCGUCUCCCUCUCCGCAGGAAAAUGCAUGCUGUCCCCAUAAGGAUGUGUGUGCGCAUGGGGGUGCAUUUUGUGUGCAUACAAUACACCAAAGAACAAAGAAUGAUGGAACAAAUAUCUGUGGACCCACCACCAAGAACUAAUUAAUCUUAGCAUUUUGUCAUUGUUCCAUAUCAUAAAUGACAUCAUUGAUGAAAAUUUCAAAGAUGCAACCUACAUAUUUUGUGGCUUUUAUAUUUUCUUAAAUGAUGUCGUUGUGCAACUUGCUUUUUUGUUACUAUUUUUGAGAUACAGUCGUGUCGAUGUUAUAGCUCUGGUGCAUUCAUUUGUAACUGCUGUCUAGUAUCCCACUAAAUAUAUCCAUGGAACUUACAACUUAUCCAUUCACCUCUUGAUAAAUAUUUUCUCCAGGAUUUUAUGAUUACAAACACCAUAGGGUUUUUAAAUCUGGGAUGCACAACCUUUUUUUUUUUUUUUUUUUUUUUUUUGAGAGAGAGUCUUGCUCUAUUGCCCAGGCUGGAUGGAGUACAGUGGUGUGAUCUCAGCUCACUGCAACCUCCGCUUCCCAGAUUCAAGCAAUUCUCCUGCCUCAGCCUCCCAAGUAGCUGGGAUUACAGGUGCACACCACCAUGCCUGGCUAAUUUUUGUGUUUUUAGUAGAGACGGGGUUUCACCAUGUUGGCCAGGCUGGUCCCGAACUCCUGACCUCAGGUGAUCCACCCACCUUGGCCUCUCAAAGUGUUGGGAUUACAGGCGUGAGCCACCGCACCUGGCCCUAGGAUGCAGGGCUUUUUAAAUGCUCUGUGCAUCAUGCAUUGAGGAUAGAGUGGAGGCAGCAGAGGGAGCACCGUGGGCACCAGCACCUGUGCCCUGGGAUUGCUGCAGAGGAAGACUCACCCUGCAGAAUGUCUUUAAAGACAGAGGAGAGGAUGGCAUUUGAGGGUGUGAAGAAGGAAGAGUUUGAUCUUCCCAAGGCUGCUGCCUAAACUCUCAUGUCAGUUUCAACUUUUACAAGGAAAGAAAUUAAGAAAAAGAAGACCCGUGCUGGCGAUCGUGGAGGUGGAAGUUCAGGAAGUCGAUGUGGGUGCUCGGGAGAGGGUUUUCCAGGAAGUGUCCUCCUUCCAGGGCCCCCUGGAUGCCACUGUUGUAGUAAACCUUCAAUCACCGACCUUAGAAGAGAAAAACGAGUUUCCUGAGGACCUGCGUACUGAGCUCAUGCAGACCUUGGGGAAUUAUGGGACAAUUGUUCUUGUCAGGAUCAACCAAGGGCAGAUGCUGGUAACUUUUGCAGACAGUCACUCGGCUCUCAGUGUCCUGGACGUGGACGGUAUGAAGGUGAAAGGCAGAGCAGUGAAGAUUAGACCGAAGACCAAGGACUGGCUGAAAGGUUUGCGAGAGGAGAUCAUUCGGAAACGAGACAGCAUGGCCCCCGUGUCUCCCACUGCCAACUCCUGUUUGCUGGAGGAAAACUUUGACUUCACAAGUUUGGACUAUGAGUCAGAAGGGGAUAUUCUUGAAGAUGAUGAAGACUACUUGGUGGAUGAAUUCAAUCAGCCUGGGGUCUCGGACAGUGAACUCGGGGGAGACGACCUCUCUGAUGUCCCCGGCCCCACAGCACUGGCUCCUCCCAGCAAGUCACCUGCUCUCACCAAAAAGCAGCAGCAUCCAACGUACAAAGAUGACGCGGACCUGGUGGAGCUCAAGCGGGAGCUGGAAGCUGUCGGGGAGUUCCGCCACCGUUCUCCGAGCAGGUCUCUGUCGGUCCCCAACCGGCCUCGGCCACCUCACCCCCCGCAGAGACCCCCCCCUCCAACCGGUUUAAUGGUGAAAAAGUCGGCUUCAGAUGCAUCCAUCUCCUCCGGCACCCAUGGGCAGUAUUCAAUUUUGCAGACGGCAAGACUUCUACCAGGAGCACCUCAGCAACCUCCCAAGGCUCGGACUGGAAUAAGUAAACCUUAUAAUGUCAAGCAGAUCAAAACCACCAAUGCCCAGGAGGCAGAAGCAGCAAUCCGGUGUCUCCUGGAAGCCAGAGGAGGUGCCUCCGAAGAAGCCCUAAGUGCCGUGGCCCCAAGGGACCUUGAAGCAUCCUCUGAACCAGAGCCCACACCGGGGGCAGCCAAACCAGAGACCCCACAGGCGCCCCCACUCCUUCCCCGUCGGCCCCCACCCAGAGUUCCUGCCAUCAAGAAGCCAACCUUGAGAAGGACAGGAAAGCCCCUGUCACCGGAAGAACAGUUUGAGCAACAGACUGUCCAUUUUACAAUCGGGCCCCCGGAGACAAGCGUUGAGGCCCCUCCUGUCGUGACAGCCCCUCGAGUCCCUCCUGUUCCCAAACCAAGAACAUUUCAGCCUGGGAAAGCUGCAGAGAGGCCAAGCCACAGGAAGCCAGCAUCAGACGAAGCCCCUCCUGGGGCAGGAGCCUCUGUGCCACCACCUCUGGAGGCGCCACCUCUUGUGCCCAAGGUACCCCCGAGGAGGAAGAAGUCAGCCCCCGCAGCCUUCCACCUGCAGGUCCUGCAGAGCAACAGCCAGCUCCUCCAGGGCCUCACUUACAAUAGCAGUGACAGGCCCUCUGGGCACCCACCUGCCACGGGCACCGUCUUCCCACAAGGGGACUUUCUCAGCACUUCAUCUGCUACAAGCCCCGACAGCGAUGGCACCAAAGCGAUGAAGCCAGAGGCAGCCCCACUUCUUGGUGAUUAUCAGGACCCCUUCUGGAACCUUCUUCACCACCCUAAACUGUUGAAUAACACUUGGCUUUCUAAGAGCUCAGACCCUUUGGACUCAGGAACCAGGAGCCCCAAAAGAGAUCCCAUAGACCCAGUGUCAGCUGGCGCUUCAGCUGCCAAGGCAGAGCUGCCACCAGAUCAUGAACACAAAACCUUAGGUCACUGGGUGACAAUCAGUGACCAAGACAAGAGGACAGCACUGCAGGUGUUUGACCCACUGGCAAAAACAUGACUGAGCGGCUUUGAAGGCUGCAGUCCUAUAGAAUGCAUACCUUCCUCCCUCUAGGCAUCGCUCCACCAGAAGAGACAUCUAUUUAAAGGCACACUGGCCAAAACGUUUGUGCAUCUGUCACUCUCGUGUAGUUUACAAAAAUCGUGUCUCUUAUUCAGUAAGAUGGUUACUCAGCCACCAAAAUAUAUUUCACUCAAGGCUUGUACAUCUGAAGUUUGCUCUUCAAGGAAUGGGAACCUUCCUGUUAAAUUCGGUGUAUGGAUUUUAAGAAAGGAAUCUAGCCAAUGAGGUCCAAGAAGUUCUCACCCAUUGAAUUUUUAAAUGGCUGUUCAGUUCAUGUUGUACGUGGUGGAGAUUUGUCUUUUGUUUUAUUUGCAUUUUACAGAUUUGGUAUAACAUUUUGGGGAGCCACCUGAAGGUUGAUGUAUAAAGUAAGGAUUAGAGAAAGAGGUCGUUGUGACCAUUAGUAGCUGUUCUGGCCCACUUAAACAAGGUUACAAAAAAUCAGAGUCGGAAGCAGCCAAAUAGGUCAACCUAAUGACUAGACUGUACAUUCCCAUGAGCCUUCAUGUUUAAGUGUGUACAUGUGCGUUAACCUUGAUGAUGCGUGAAUCCCGAGGGAGCCGGUGGCAUACACCGUUAGCUUAACCUUAGCUUAAACUAGCUGAAGGCUCCUGUGCCAUGUCUUAGACAUUGCAUGCCCUAUCAAUUACUAUAAUCCUGAGCCAUGGUGUGCUACUGAAACCAAUUUUUAUCCACCAUCUAGUCCUUAUUAAAUGAAACCUCACGGAUCCUUUGUUCCGCUUAUAUUCCACGCAUACCACAUAAAAGCACACAGUGCGAAAACUCUUGCUGAUACGCGAUAUUCUCAUUGUUAGAAUAUGGAGAGUGUUUCAGCCUCGUCUGUCCGGCUGGAGCUUUGGGAUGGAAAGUGCUAUGUGUCCCUGCAUAUAAGAAUCACCAGGCCAGUGUUUCUGGGUUUGCUUGUCUAUAUGUUUGUCUAUAUUUUUUGCCUAUACAUUUUUCCCACGUUUCCGACAGCACUUCUCACCUAUUCAAUAAUUGAAAAAGACGUUACCAUAGUGCUUUACAUUUUUAAAGUAAUGUUACAAGGUCUGGAAUCCAUUUGGAGCAGAUACCGUGUUUUCGCUAUUUAAUAAGAAGUUCAGUAGUGAAAUCUUACUGUACCGCCUGUUGUAUCUGGGAGCCUCGUACGGAGGCUCGCACAGCAGUGAUCAAGUGUCAUCCCUUACGUGACUGGGGGAUGUCUGUCCUAAAAGCUGACCGCUAGGAUAGUAAGGAUCAUCUUGCCUGGGCUAUGCCACUGUCUUGUUACCAAUUAGACAUCUGGAAUUUCAUAAUUAGUUUUCAUUGUCACUAUCAAGAUAUAUUGCAGAUUACUUAAAUCUGGCCAUCAAAACAAAAGUUACAACACGUAUCUCUUUUCAUCUGAAAACUAAUACCUGGAAAAGGAUAAAAAAAAAAAAAAAAA
rnacentral:sRNA from 1 species